rnacentral:rRNA from 1 species
GAAACAGCGGUUAGGAGCUUACACCCACCCGUGUUUACAUACUAUUGUUGCUUUGGCGGGCCGUGGCCUCCACUGCGGGCUCUGCUCGUGUGUGCCCGCCAGAGGACCAAACUCUGAAUGUUAGUGAUGUCUGAGUACUAUCUAAUAGUUAAAACUUUCAACAACGGAUCUCUUGGUUCUGGCAUCGAUGAAGAACGCAGCGAAAUGCGAUAAGUAAUGUGAAUUGCAGAAUUCAGUGAAUCAUCGAAUCUUUGAACGCACAUUGCGCCCUGUGGUAUUCCGCAGGGCAUGCCUGUUCGAGCGUCAUUUAACCACUCACGCCUAGCGUGGUAUUGGGGCACGCGGUCUCCGCGGCCCUCAAAAUUAGUGGCGGUGCCGGUGGGCUCUAAGCGUAGUACAUACUCCCGCUAUAGAGUUCCCCCCGGUGGCUCGCCAGAACCCCCAAUUUUUACAGGUUGACCUCGGAUCAGGUAGGGAUACCCGCUGAACUUAAG